GAUUCAAGCAAUUCUCCUGCCUCAGCCUCCCAAGUAGCUGGGACUACAGAGUUAUGUCAUACAUAGGAUAUUUAAAGGAACCUCACUCGUCUCAAGUUUGGCCGAGACACCAAAACAAUAAGGUCACACUUCAAAGUUACGGGCAAGUCCACCAAUACAGGAUUUGCAAAAGAAGAUUAUAGAAAACCAAUUUUCAUGCCGGGCGCGCUGGCUGACGCCUGUAAUCCCAGCACUUUGGGAGGCCGAGGCAGGUGGAUCACGAGGUCAGGAGAUCGAGACCAUCCUGGCCAACAUGGUAAAACUCCAUCUCUACUAA
rnacentral:lncRNA from 1 species